rnacentral:rRNA from 1 species
GGAAUUUUGGACAAUGGGGGAAACCCUGAUCCAGCAAUGCCGCGUGAGUGAAGAAGGCCUUCGGGUUGUAAAGCUCUUUUGUCAGGGAAGAAACAGCAGCUCUAAUACAGUCUGCGAAUGACGGUACCUGAAGAAUAAGCACCGGCUAACUACGUGCCAGCAGCCGCGGUAAUACGUAGGGUGCAAGCGUUAAUCGGAAUUACUGGGCGUAAAGCGUGCGCAGGCGGUUAUGCAAGACAGUCGUGAAAUCCCCGGGCUCAACCUGGGAAUUGCGAUUGUGACUGCAUAGCUAGAGUAUGUCAGAGGGGGGUAGAAUUCCACGUGUAGCAGUGAAAUGCGUAGAUAUGUGGAGGAAUACCAAUGGCGAAGGCAGCCCCCUGGGACAAUACUGACGCUCAUGCACGAAAGCGUGGGGAGCAAACAGGAUUAGAUACCCUGGUAGUCCACGCCCCAAACGAUGCUGACUAGUUGUUCGGGAAUUUAUUCCUGAGUAACGUAGCUAACGCGUGAAGUCAGCCGCCUGGGGAGUACGGUCGCAAGAUUAAAACUCAAAUGAAUUGACGG